GGGGGGGGGGGGGGGUGGUGGGCGGCGGAGGCGCGGCGCCGGGCCGGCCCCAGCAGCCGCGUCCCUCCAGGAUGCUGUUCCCUCUGCCUCUGCGGGUAGCCUGCAGUCUGCUUGCCUGGCUCUCCCUCUACGCUUGGUCCUGCCAUCGCUACAAGCACCGGAAUUACGAAUGGAGCUGCAGGCUGGUCACGCUGACCCAUGGCAUCCUUGCUACGUGUCUCUCUGCGUACAUUGGCUUUAUUGAUGGUCCCUGGCCUUUGAGUCACCCAGGAUCGCCAAACACAACUCUUCAGGUACACGUCCUGUGCCUUAGCUUGGGCUACUUUCUCUUCGACCUUUGUUGGUGUGUGUACUUCCAGACAGAGGGUGCCCUGAUGCUGGCCCACCACCUGGUGAGCAUCUUGGGCAUCACGGCAUCAUUGGCACUUGGGGAGUCAGCUGCGGAGGUCAAUGCCGUCAUCUUUGGUAGUGAGAUCACUAACCCGUUGCUGCAGGCCCGCUGGUUCCUGAAGGAGAUGGGAUGUUAUCACAGUUUUACAGGCGAUGUGGUGGAUUUCUUCUUCGUGGUCCUCUUCACUGGGGUGCGGAUUGGAGUGGGGGCCUGGCUGAUGUACUGUGAACUUGCUUCUCCCAAACCCAGGUGGUACAUUAAGCUGGGCGGUGUCAUCAUGUACGCUGUCUCCUGGGUUUUCAUGGUCAGCAUCUGUCGCUUCGCUAGGAGGAAGAGCAUGAAGAAGUACCAUGCUUGGAGGAGCCGGAGGAGCGAUGAGUUAUACUUGAAAACUAAUGGACAUCUGAAAAACCACUGACUGGAUGCUGAGUAAAGACUUCCUCGAGUUUACAGUCUGGCAAGAAGGGGAUCAUGCCUGAAAUGCCACUGUCGGGAGAGGAGCCAACACACAUUAGCAAUUCUGGAGCCAAAUUUAUCCCUGGCAUAACUCCACUGAAAUCCAUGGAGCUAUGCCAUGGAUUCAUUGGAUCUGCAGUGUUUGGCCUGGCAGAGGCUGGCUCGUGUCCGGAAGCUAUAAUCGGCAGUGGCGCCUUGCAGGACUAGGUGCUCUGUGAAUACACUGAAAGUCACAGCCCUCGAUGCGAAACACUUCUCUGACUUUUUCCCAUCUUCUUCAUCCCUGACUGUUAAAACUCCACCCACCCCCUCCAAAUACUGCUUUUAGCUCCUUGCGUGACCAACACUCCAUUGUGAGAAGCUCCAUCAGGACUUGCCAGUAAGUGGCUUUCUGGCUGAUGGACCAAGCCCUGAUUUGUCUGCAGAAUGCCAAAAUUCCCUCUGCUGUGCUUAUUGGCCCAAGUGCAGGCGUAGUGUGGAGCCAGCCUGAGACCAAACGGCAUGCCUUGAGAUUGUCAGGCAAAUACCUUCUCUAAGCUGUAAGUAACUUUUACAAAUACGAACGAUAAAUGCAGAGUGGUUUACUGCAGCAAUCUGCAAACAAUCUGUACUUACCGGUUUUGGCAAUCUAAAGGGAACAGGGGCCAGAACCUGGUUUGUAGUGAAGGCUGUGUAUUUCUCUUGCACUUGAAAGUGUCAUCCCAGAUUCAGAUCAGUGUAUCUGAACCCGGAGUCUGCCACAGUGUUUGGGGAUAGUGGGGCACUGUAGGUGAAUGUCUGGGAGCUCUGUGGAAAAAUGAUUGACAAACACUUGAAACUAGCAUCGAUGUUUUUCCCUAGGACCAUAGAUACCAGUUUCAACAAGAAUGUUUCCUCAGAUCCAAAUUGGGAUUUCUGGUUCAAGACUGGACAACGUGCAUCUUCAAAACUUGGUGGCUAAGGUGGAAGAGCUCCUCGGCUUCAGAUCAGUUCUCUGCCCUGUUCAAGCCAGAGACCUAACCUUGGCUCUCCUUCAUCUCAAUUGAUGCCUUGACCCUGGGCUUUGAAUUCACUUCUGUCUCCCUGAUUGGAUCUGGGUCACUUUACAAAAGUGAGCAUUUAUAGGGUAAGAGAGACUUACUUUACAGCCUAAUAAUGAAAGAAGCGAGAGGCACAGGAUCUUGCCUUUUUUAAGCAAAAAAGUGAACUUGACUGGGAGAAAAAAGAAGCGUUCCCUAUCUGGUCUUAUUUGCAGGGAAAAACUGUCCCCUGCUUGGCAGCUUCUGGUGUUUAUUGCGCUGUAUGUUCUUAAGCGCUGUUCCUUUGUUAUUGCUGUCGGUGUUACGAUCACUUAUUUUGAGCCUCAGCACCAGGCCUCCAGAGCAGCUCAGGUGCCGGUUCCGCUGUGAGCCUUGCCCGUCGCAGCCAAAGACCUGAAGAGCCCAAAGCACUUCAGAUUAGCAGAGCCAACCGAUGGGUGAGCUGGUCCUUUAAAGGAAACUUGACUCAUUUAGCACAGCACAGUGACUAUUGAGCCUUGAAGGGAGACAAGAAGGGCUAGUUGGGGCUUGCUGGUUCUUUCCCAGCGCUGCUGCUGCUGCUGUGAGGUGUGUCAGGGAGGCCUUUUGCCUCAGCUUACCCACUUUAUUAAGUGGGGUACAGUAUUACCUACCUCGUGAGGUGUUUUAAUUUGUCAGCACUAAGCCACCUUUGAUUAAUGCUUGGUGGUCUGUGUCAAGCUGUGCUGUAUAAAGGCAAAAUGCUGUUGCUUUGAGUGAAGCCCUUUUCACUAUGACCCAUCAUCAGUACGUUGUCACCUGAAUAUGGCACUUCCCAGCAUCUGGCUUGCCUCACAAAAGCAGGAGUCCAAGGUGUUUUGCAGUGGUGCUUAUAGGUAGGAGUCAAAAGGAGUAAGCUAGGCACGUGCAUAAAGAUCAGCUAUGCUGCUUCUUGUUCAGGCGGACUUCCAAGUUGAAGAAAGGUUGUCGGGUGGAUUUUCCCUAGUAAGGAUUGCAGUAAAUCUGGACCCUGAAGAGUUUCAGCAACCAGCCUGACCAGGGAAUAAGGGCUUUCAGCAGCAAGUCCUGUAGGUUAAAAACAUCCUGUUCAUUCCUCAGUGCAGCUGUCGACUUGCCCACCAAGAAGCGUUUCCUGAGCAGUCCUGGUGAUUCGCACUCUGAUGAGGUUUGGUGUGCAGCUUAAUGCAUGGUUACAGCCCUUCUGUGGGGGCUGUACAGCCCAUGCCUGCCCAAGUGUGAAUAAGGGUGUCAGUGACUGCAGGUAUCUGUGAAACACCUUGUGUGAAGAUGUUUUGAAAGAUGAUGCGCUUAAUGGCUGAGUGGUCCCCUUUGAAGUGGGGGGAAAACUUGGUUGGAAGAAGUAGAGCACUGUGAUCAAUGUUUAGAAGUUAAACAAGGGCACGAGAAAACAAAAGAGCAAUUAGGAAUGGCUUUAUGAGGUAGAGCUAGCAACGAUGUCUCAGAGAAGGGCCUCGUAGUCUGUGUAGUGGGCAUCUGCAUAGAAUCACAGACCCAGAAAGAAGUGUAACUUCUAAGCUGUGGAGCACAUGGUGGGACCUGUCCUCAGGCUCAUCCAUAGUGGCUAGAGCAAAUUGUAGAAGGAAACUGCAGAACUAGUGUGAAAUAAUAACUUGUGUUUGAAUUACUGUGUAAUAGCAACUAAUCCACCAAUGAAUGGUGUAGAUUCUUUGUAUUAUGUUUUAUAAAAUAAAGAUUAUUUAAUUAUAUGAAGAAUUUGGUUUCUUUCUUUGGAUGCAGUUCUUAAGUUGUAUUGCGUAUUGCUGGAUGAGUCGGCAUUGCCAGUGCAAACAAACAAAGUGAUGGUUGGUGGGUGCUUUUUAGGGACUGAGCCAACAACUUGUACAGCUUUCACCAUUAUUGCUUCUUUGACACGUAACAGGCAGAGAAGUUACUCUUCUUUGCAAAGUUCUUGCAAACACAGUAGUUUGGUGUUUGCUAAUAGGUGCUUUCACGUUGCUGACUGGCUGAACAGGGUGCAUUUCUUCCAUAGCGUUUCAUCCCGGGCCUUUCAUGCGCCUAUCCUCAGGCAACUCACAGAGCAAAAAUGUUUCCUUUGUUUUCCAUGCCCUAUAUGCUAGAGGAGAAGGUUCUUCUGUGUUUCCACACCACGAACCAUGAGCUCUUCUCGUUCAUAAACUAAACAUUGUUGGCUAGGAAUGGCUUCAUUGGAAAGUCUGAUAGGAAGAGAGUAUGUUUUAGCAUUAUUUAAUGUUGCCUUGUGUGUGGGUACUUCCAGCUGUAGAGAUGAGCCAAAGUCAGCGCUGUGCAAAGGUGCAGAUUUAAUCUGGGGUCUGAGUGGUGCUAGUCUGCCUCUCCAUGUGCCUGCUGUGGUGUUAAUUGCUUAUGUACCGGGGGCUGCUUUCAUUCAGAGCCAGAGGGAAACUGCAGGGCUGUGCAGCUGCUGGGAGCUGUGUAUAUCAUGUUCUGUCCAUGCCCCGAAGCUCCCUGGGCAGGACUGACUGUGCCACUUAAUCUGCUGUGGGAGGUGUGAGCUGCCAGGAGGAUGUAGUGCAGGGCUCAGGUCUGUUUGCACAGGGGCUUCUUUUGUCCUCGAUGCAAUAGCUUAGCACUGGGAAAGGCACCGACACGCAGAACAGCUCUGUCAAGUGAUGUAGAAAGUUGUGCGCUCCGUUUUAAAAGCUCUGCUUCAAAGGACGUUCCUAAAAUAAGCGGAGAGGAAAACGUUUGUUUCAGUGAUGCUUUCAGCAAUUGCAGUAAGAGACCCAGGCACCAACAGGAAUCUCUGUGAACCGGGCGCUGUACAGACCCAGAGCGGGAGGAAGGCUCUGCCCUGCACGGCCUCUACCAGCAGCUCUGAAACUGCGUGUAGCCGAGCCACGCUCGGGAAAGACCUGUAGCGUGGUGUGGGAAAAGAACAGCUACUUUGCCUUGCUUAUGGUCACAGCAUUUUGCCGGAGAUCCAGCAUGCCCAAAGUCUGUUUUCUGUAAACAGGUCAGUCAAUUUAGUUGUUUGGAUGUAACCCUUAAAUCUACCUCAAAAUCCUCCAGCGCUGGGGAGCAGCUGCGUGGCGUUGAGCCCUCUAGAGAUGCUGGCCUCUUCGCGCUCUACAAGCAGCCCGGUUGCACGAUGAAGGGGUCUCGGGGACUGCAAUAAUUUUUGCUGGGAGUUUGUUUAACCUCUGAGGUAGUCCAGAAGCAGAGAAGAAAGUACAGAAGCAUUCUGAAGCUUUGCUUUAAAGCUGCAAGCGUCUUCCUAGUUUCACAUCUUCAGGAACAACAUGCCAGAAUCUCGCCUUAAGUCAGUGGGUAAAUGCGCUUUGACUGUAAAGAGUGAAAUCUGCUCCCCUACGCCCAAUGAAUUUAUUUUUUUUAUCUUCCCAUUAUUUCUUUUAAAGCCAUUCCUUCCCUGCUGCCUGCCUUUUGCUUCUGCUGGCCCUGCAGUAGAGCUUUAUAAAAUUAACCUCCUCUUUCAGUCUUCUGCCCUCUUUUUCUAGCUGAACUCCUUAUUUGUAUUUGAAGAAAUUGCAAUUUUAUGAUAUUCAAGGCUUUAUUCCCUUGCAACAGGAGUCCAAGCACUGAUUGAUAUAAAAGCAUAGCAUUUUAAUUCUUUGGAGUCUGCUGUUAGACUAAUACCAGCGCUGUCAGCAGGUCCGUUUCUUGGACAAAAAAGAUGAGAGAAAGUUUCAAGCUUCUUGGAAGUCAUGGGUAUGUUCCUGAUACUUGCAGACAUUGUAUAGCUUGGCUGGAAGUGAACUGACACAUCUGCUGCCAUUUCCAAAGAAGUCAAAUUUCAGAGAUGGACAGAGAAUCAGUCAGCAUUACCUUUGUGUUGCAUAAGCAAUUUCUGAGCAUGGAGCAACUCUUUUUUGGUUAUGCCAAUAUACCAGCACUUUUCUCUUUCCAAGUCAGCUUCAAGAUGUUCUCUAGUAAAUCCGUGUACGAGAAGGUGCUAGCUUUUGCUGGCUUUGUCCUGUUUCCCUCAAGUUCCAGGGGCAGUUUGGCGGCUGAUAAGUUGGCAACAGAAGGGAUCUUUAGAAAAUGACUUUAAGAAGGAAGUGAACGGAUCAAGGUGUAUGGAAGAGCUUUCGCAAAGUAAGAACCGUUUGCCAGUGGUUAAUUUCGUAUGGGAAAGAGAAAGUGUAGGUUUCUGUGGCUUCUCAAAUGUUACAAAGUACACCUUUUCAGGAAUGCUCCUAUUAUGUUGUUGUUUAAAUUGUGUAUGGUGUCAGAAGUUCAAGAUCUGUUCAGUGUAACAGAUAAUCCUCAAAUGUGAUGAGAAAUAAUGUUAUUUUCCAUCUCUUUACGUUUUACCCUAAUAACAAAUACCUGUUUUUUAAUCCCCGCUCUUAUCAGAGGACAUUGAUUCUAGCAGAGAGCAAGAAGAAAGGCACAUGACAGAAUGCACUGCAGCUUUGUCCGUCCUUACAAAGGUUGCUGCUUUAAUUAUGCUGAUAUGGAAAGAAAGCUUAGUGCUAUAAAAAUGCUUACUGCGAUGCGGAUUAUCCAGGUUUAGGAACCGUAAUAAGCUGUCACAGUAGAAGCCCUGAUAGAUUAGGCUAUCUGUGUCUCAACAAAGUCAGCAAAGUAUUGCAUUUGUGUCCAAGUGACUUAAAAGCGUAGACUAGCCCUGUGUGCACUUCCAGCAUUUCCAGUGAACUGGAUGCAGAGCAAGCUGCCUGUCUGUGGGGAGCAAAUCAUGUACCUGUUUCAAGGUAGGAGAUGGUAAAAGGCUUUGAGUAGCCAUGUGGAGCAGAGCAUAAAUUAAUGUGGGGUUUUUUUUUUUUCAGAUUAGAGUUGCAUCCAGCCAGCCAACAGUGGCCAUUGGAUUGGUUUUAUCAGUUUCUGAAGCAGGUUGCAUCCAUGUCACAUUGAAGCUGGUUAGCAUCAGCAGCUGGCUAGAAAAUUCAGUGGAUGGGCAGAGAGAUAGACACGUGUCUGGAUUUGAUUCAGGGUAUCAUUACUAUCUUCAACUCCCUCAGAAGCAGAAUCUCAGCAAAUAACAAAAUCCCACACAUGUUCUCAGCUGGCUCAGAAGAAACUCAUGCCAGAGCAGUUCCCCGGGAUCGAAGGAUGCUGAACUAAGUUAGUGCUUAGGUGAGUUUAGAUUGAAUUGCAGGGCACUACAAAAAAAUCAAUAAGGCAGGAAGGUUUAAGUUACGCAAAGCUUGAGAACAGAGCCAGGCUUACGCCAAUCCUGACACAAGGUCAAGGUCCUAUCCAUUCUUCAUAAGUCACAAAUUCAUAUGCACAUUUGGGAGAUGAGCUGUCUUCUCUGUUAGCCUUGGGAAUCAUUUCCCCUGUGCCUUUCCUCUCCAGCUGCGCAAGGCGUAAAGGUUGGCUGUUGCCUUCCAAAAGCAGCUGACUUUUUUUUCUGCCAGAACAGCCAUUGGCAUAGCAAUUUAUGGUAAGUUUAAAUAGCAGUCCAAAAUACUGGUGAAUUUUGGUUUUAAA